AUGGCUUACAGGCUGUGGUCCAGCUAGUCCAGCAACGACUGUCUACCAGCAGAAGGUCCAAGAAUCUGUAGUUGUUCAGUCCAUGAGGCCGGAUGUCUCAACUCAUGUUCAGUAUUUGUCAGAACUGUGAAGAAAUAGCUUCUAAUGGCGGUGAAGGAGUGGAGUUGCCAGAGGGAGAGCGAGGGCGGGCAGGCAAUGAGCCAAUGCUUCCUUCUUCUGCGUCCUUUACAUAGGCUGCCAGCAGAAGGCAUGGCCCAGAUUAAAGGUGGGUCUUCCCACCUCACAAGAUGUGGAUUAAAGGAAAAGCCAUUGUGACAGUGCAUCAAUCAAGAAACAAAAGACAAACAUUCCACAUUCCAGGCCCUUCUCCUGCUGCCCUAGUCCACAGAUAUCCUCCUCUGAUGGCCAUGGGCUGGUCUCUUGGGAAAUUUGCCUCUUCCCUGUGCUGGGCAGCAUCUACACUCAACCUUCCAUGUACCCCAUUCCUUCAGCUAAAGAGACCUACACAGGCUGCCUGUCAACAGGAGUACUUCUAGAUCCCAGCAUCUCACAGAAGCAAGGCUUCAUCAAACCUGAGAAUAAAAUGUUGGCUCAUGUAUCCAUAUUUUCUACCAGAAAAGGAAGCAAGUAUCCGCCUGCUCGUCACACGGCUCUCUGUUCACAUCAACGUUGAAUCUGGGUUUAUCCAAACUUUUCUACUAGAAUAUACUGUCCACAAAAGCAAGGAGUUUGUUCUCGUUUAGGUUCAGUGCCCAGACCAGCUUUGUGUACCUAGAAGGCACUUGGUCAACAUUUAUGUCAUGAAUAAAUAUAUGCAGCCUGGUGUAUUCAGC